ensembl:snRNA U2 U2 spliceosomal RNA
AUUGCUUCUGGGCUUUUCAGCUAAGAUCAAGGGUAGUAUCUAUUCUUAUCAGUUUAAUUAUACUACAUAAAGAUUCUACUGUGCUUGCUCAAAAUUCAGCAAUAAUGAUGAAACUCCGGUUUGGGAACACUCAUUUAGGUUUUGAGCCUGAUUGCCUGUUUGAAUCCUAGUUCCUUCGUUUACUGGCACUGUGACCUUGGGAAAAUAAC